GAAGAUCUCACAUCUGAACGUGUCCAGGAGGUAGUCCACUCUGUAGACCGGUCCUGCGUGAUGUGUUGGCGGUGGAGGGUUCGGCGUGCUGCUCGGAGGCACUACGGCAGCAUGUUUCUGUCUUCAUCAGGUCCGUUGAUGACAUCGGGAGAGUUACAAACAGGGAUCCACCGGAGUUCUGGCUUGCUUUGGUUUUCAGGUGACUCACCUGAGGCUCCACUGUGGAAUGUGACUCUCUGUUUAAUACAAAAGCUCAUAAAGGGGAAACCAGUGGUUAGUGUGAGUGACGGGUCUGGGUGGUCUGAGGGAGGCCUGGGGGGGCUUCACCUCCUGAUUUAUGAGGUCUGAUGAAGUUAAAUCCCACUGAGCCCUUUUUGUUGUCUCACUCUGUUGUUCUUAUGAGGAUGGAAACUGUUAUCAGAGUUUGCUCAGGUGUUCCCCUCCAGAGCCGUGUUCUCUUUCCACAUGUGAUCACGUGAUUGUUCCUGUCGCCGCUGAUGUCACCUCAGCCAGCGGGCUGCGUGGGCACCAGGUUUUGGAAGAUAAGAAGAAUGUGCUGAAUAAAAAAGAAUGUCA
ensembl:lncRNA